GAAAUAAAAGAAGAGAAUUGUUACCAAACGCUAGUAAAUGCGAAGCUCACAACCCUAACCUAAUUGUGGGGCUUUGGGUCUCGUCGUCUAAUUCAGUAGUGACUGUGAGACUCUGAAGAUAUGAAAUCAGGGAUUUCGUCUUCUUCAGUUGAAGCUCUGAGGAACAAAGGAGAAGGAAUUGCCUCCUCCCUAUCUUCUUACGAUCACUCUCGCUUCUUGCUUGCCACUAGACCUCCCAGACAAGUAGUAUCAAUAUGGACUUGUUCAAAGCUAUGUGCUGUUUGCUUUGUCACUGGGGUGGUCGUUGGUUACUCGUUAAAGCGAUGUGUUAAUCGAUGGAUUUCCAAGCUAUUGAGGAGAUUGAAAGAUUGAUAUGCCCAUCCAUGCCCAUGUUCUG